rnacentral:lncRNA from 1 species
CAUAUGGCACCGCUCAACACUCCAUUGCAUCGUGCUCAAUCAAGGAAAGAAGGUAACUGCAGUUUCAACAUUUUAAAGAUGUUAAUGUUCUAAAAUGCUUCAUGAAUAUGUUUAUGUGAAGAGCAGGUUAUGAUGAAAUGUUGAAUGUUUUGCCUUUCAUGGCAUAUUUUCGUAAUCUAUGAUGUUAUGAUCAGACGAAUGAUAGAAAAAUUGACAUAUGUUUUCCCGGAGAACAUAGAUUGCUAUAAGUUGCAUGAUCACAAUUUUAAAGAAC